rnacentral:rRNA from 1 species
GAUGAACGCUAGCUACAGGCUUAACACAUGCAAGUCGAGGGGAAACGGCAUUGAGUGCUUGCACUCUUUGGACGUCGACCGGCGCACGGGUGAGUAACGCGUAUCCAACCUUCCCAUUACUGUGGGAUAACCUGCCGAAAGGCAGACUAAUACCGCAUAGUCUUCGAUGACGGCAUCAGAUUUGAAGUAAAGAUUUAUCGGUAAUGGAUGGGGAUGCGUCUGAUUAGCUUGUUGGCGGGGUAACGGCCCACCAAGGCUACGAUCAGUAGGGGUUCUGAGAGGAAGGUCCCCCACAUUGGAACUGAGACACGGUCCAAACUCCUACGGGAGGCAGCAGUGAGGAAUAUUGGUCAAUGGACGGAAGUCGGAACCAGCCAAGUAGCGUGCAGGAUGACGGCCCUAUGGGUUGUAAACUGCUUUUGUAUGGGGAUAAAGUUAGGGACGUGUCCCUAUUUGCAGGUACCAUACGAAUAAGGACCGGCUAAUUCCG